rnacentral:snoRNA from 14 species
ACCCUUGGCUUCCCUUUCCAACUGGAUCAUAGGAGGAAGUACACUGAAGCAGGCCUCACAAUAAUGUAGUCUCAAAUACAGCAUAAGGUCAAAUUCAAACACGC